UACAGAGGUCCCAAGCGUUUGUUCGGAUUUAUUGGGCGUAAAGAGCUCGUAGGCGGCUCAUUGCGUCAACCGUGAAACCAGCAGCUCAACUGUUGGCUUGCGGUUGAUACGGGCUGGCUAGAGUGUGGUAGGGGAGAUCGGAAUUCCUGGUGAGCGGUGAAAUGCGCAGAGUAUCAGGAGGAACACCGGUGGCGAAGGCGGAUCUCGUGGGCCAUUACUGACGCUGAGGAGCGAAAGCGUGGGGAGCGAACAGG
rnacentral:rRNA from 1 species